rnacentral:rRNA from 1 species
UACGAAGGGGGCUAGCGUUGUUCGGAAUCACUGGGCGUAAAGGGCGCGUAGGCGGCCGAUCAAGUCGGGGGGGAAAGCCUGUGGCUCAACCACAGAAUUGCCUUCGAUACUGUUUGGCUUGAGACCGGAAGAGGUUAGUGGAACUGCGAGUGUAGAGGUGAAAUUCGUAGAUAUCGGGAGGAACACCAGUGGCGAAGGCGGCGACCUGGGCCAAUAUUGACGCUGAGGUGCGAAAGCGUGGGGAGCAAACAGG